rnacentral:rRNA from 1 species
GAACUUCCGUUAAUUGAUUAUGACGUGCUUGCACUGAAUGAGAUUUUAACACGAAGUGAGUGGCGGACGGGUGAGUAACACGUGGGUAACCUGCCCAGAAGCAGGGGAUAACACCUGGAAACAGAUGCUAAUACCGUAUAACAGAGAAAACCGCCUGGUUUUCUUUUAAAAGAUGGCUCUGCUAUCACUUCUGGAUGGACCCGCGGCGCAUUAGCUAGUUGGUGAGGUAACGGCUCACCAAGGCGAUGAUGCGUAGCCGACCUGAGAGGGUAAUCGGCCACAUUGGGACUGAGACACGGCCCAGACUCCUACGGGAGGCAGCAGUAGGGAAUCUUCCACAAUGGACGCAAGUCUGAUGGAGCAACGCCGCGUGAGUGAAGAAGGGUUUCGGCUCGUAAAGCUCUGUUGUUAAAGAAGAACGUGGGUGAGAGUAACUGUUCACCCAGUGACGGUAUUUAACCAGAAAGCCACGGCUAACUACGUGCCAGCAGCCGCGGUAAUACGUAGGUGGCAAGCGUUAUCCGGAUUUAUUGGGCGUAAAGCGAGCGCAGGCGGUCUUUUAAGUCUAAUGUGAAAGCCUUCGGCUCAACCGAAGAAGUGCAUUGGAAACUGGGAGACUUGAGUGCAGAAGAGGACAGUGGAACUCCAUGUGUAGCGGUGAAAUGCGUAGAUAUAUGGAAGAACACCAGUGGCGAAGGCGGCUGUCUGGUCUGUAACUGACGCUGAGGCUCGAAAGCAUGGGUAGCGAACAGGAUUAGAUACCCUGGUAGUCCAUGCCGUAAACGAUGAUUACUAAGUGUUGGAGGGUUUCCGCCCUUCAGUGCUGCAGCUAACGCAUUAAGUAAUCCGCCUGGGGAGUACGACCGCAAGGUUGAAACUCAAAAGAAUUGACGGGGGCCCGCACAAGCGGU